rnacentral:rRNA from 1 species
CACCGCGGUCAUACAAGAGACCCAAAUUAACUGUAAUCCGGCGUAAAGAGUGGUACCAUGUUAUCACAUCAACUAAGAUCAAAAUGCAGCUAAGCUGUCAUAAGCUCAAGAUGCACCUAAACCCACCCUUAAGAUGAUCUUAGCGUCUACGAUUAAUUAACCUCCACGAAAGCUAAGGCA